GCAGACGGUGCAAAACGCCUUGUCGUUUCUGUUUUCGCACUUUCGCAGUGAUCUUAGUCAAUUAGCCACGUGUGGAUGUAUGCGUGAGUUGAGAAGAUUGUGUUUGUUUAUGGCGUCAAGGAUGAGAACUAAUUUCUUGUGUUGAAAACAUCGAACUCGAAUACUGUGCAGCACCGAAUUAUAGGAGAAUGAAACAAAUAUAUGAGGCCAUUCUGCAGAAAAAAAAAGUCGUAGAGCAAAACGCCACUGAAAUGAUUAGGCCCACUGAUGAGACAUUUGAACAGCAAAGGAUCCCAUGCAGCAGAAGUGAAGAUUGGAUUGUAAAUCUGCUGUUGCAAAACAAGACUAGAAACAGAGGCAUUGCUUCGUCAAGUGGACAUGACCAUAUUUAUUGUGUGCCCAGUUGUUGAGAAACUGGGUUCUCUGCAAAAGAUGAGGAAAACCCUCACACUGUAGUGGAGUCACACCAUCAAGUAUAUGUUGCUGUGAAUAUUUGGGUUUGCAUUGUAAGCAACAACUUCAUUGGCCCAUAUCUUCCACCUGGCCAUGUGAAUGGCCACCUGUACUUGAGGUUUAUGCAAAGAGCUCUACCUGAGUUAUUGGAGAACAUAUUCUUGGCCGUUCAUGAGAGCACUUCAGUAUGGAUGUCUGCAGCCAUCUCUCAGUGCUGUAUAUCCUGGGUACUAGAUUGGAAGGGGUGGUCCUACUCCAUGGCCUGCAAGAUCACCUGACCUGUAUCCCCUUUAUUACACUCCUGGAAAUGGAAAAAAGAACACAUUGACACCGGUGUGUCAGACCCACCAUACUUGCUCCAACCGCGGUGUUGGCCGUCAAAUGGCGCUAGCUGCGCAGCAUUUGUGCACCGCCGCCGUCAGUGUCAGCCAGUUUGCCGUGGCAUACGGAGCUCCAUCGCAGUCUCUAACACUGGUAGCAUGCCGCGACAGCGUGGACGUGAACCGUAUGUGCAGUUGACGGGCUUUGAGCGAGGGCGUAUAGUGGGCAUGCAGGAGGCCGGGUGGAUGUACCGCCGAAUUGCUCAACACGUGGGGCGUGAGGUCUCCACAGUACGUUGAUGUUGUCGCCAGUGGUCGGCGGAAGGUGCACGUGCCCGUCGACCUGGGACCGGACCGCAGCGACACACGGAUGCACGCCAAGACCGUAGGAUCCUACGCAGUGCCGUAGGGGACCGCACCGCCACUUCCCAGC